CACGUAGUUAGCCGUGGCUUUCUCAUAAGGUACCGUCAAUUGAUAGUCAUUUCCUCCUAUCACCUUUCUUCCCUUAUAACAGAAUUUUACAACCCGAAGGCCUUCUUCAUUCACGCGGCGUCGCUCGGUCAGGCUUUCGCCCAUUGCCGAAGAUUCCCUACUGCUGCCUCCCGUAGGAGUCUGGGCCGUGUCUCAGUCCCAGUGUGGCCGUUCACCCUCUCAGGUCGGCUACGCAUCGUCGCCUUGGUAGGCCUUUACCCCACCAACUAGCUAAUGCGCCGCAGGCUCAUCCAUCAGUGAUGCCAGGAGCAUCUUUAAACUUUCGUCCUAUCCGGUAUUAGCGAUCGUUUCCAAUCGUUGUCCCCGUCUGAUGGGCAGAUCACCUACGUGUUACUCACCCGUUCGCCGCUUCCCACCGAAGUGGUUCGCUCGACUUGCAUGUAUUAGGCACGCCGCCAGCGUUCAUCCUGAGCCAGGAUCAAACUCU
rnacentral:rRNA from 1 species